GGGGGAACGCGCAGCCAAUCCCCGCCGCCCACCGCGGGCUCGCCCGGGCCCGGGCCGCUGCGCGGCGGCCUCCGGCGGGGCCUUUCACCUCUCUCUCGCUUGGGUCAACGCUCUCCCUCUCUCCUUUUCCCCGGCUCCCUUCUCCACCGCAAGUUUUUAAACUUUGAUGAACUCGCCCAGAGAACUUUCUUAAAGGGGCCGCGCGCUGCGGGUUCCAGCUUGCAGGAGGUGGAGCCAGUGCCCGGCACCCCGCGCCCCGGUCCCUGGGCGGCCCCGCGCUUGGUGCGAAGUUUCCCGGCCAUCGACCCCCCUGGUAUCCUGAUCUGGGGUUUUGAGGUCACUAGGGCGUGCGGCCUCUGAGUCUGAGUCGGUUUUCCCCCACAUUUGAAAACCACGGGGCCCUGGCCCGGCCGCCGCACUAGAAACCCACACCCACCUCGGGGCGCGCUGAAGCAACCCAGCCUGAAUCCUGCAGAGCCGUGGGAUCCCUCCUCGAUGCCCCUUGUCCUGGACUCGGGCUGCGACUCCUGGGGUCCCUGCCAGGGACGCCGUCGACCUUAGAAGCCACUGGCGAGAAGUGAGGAGAAUCCUGCGGGACCCUGUCCCGGGUCGGGCGUCACCGAGUGUAAUCUACCGCCCUGGGGUCAGUUUCUGUCGUGGCUUAACCCGCCAAGCUAGGUCUUAGUCUAGGGGAGGGGGUGGUGAUCAAGCCUACAGCGAGAUUGGACUGAGGCCUGUGGAGGUAUUUGAGGAUUACCAACGUUGAAUCUAGGCAGUUCACCCUUCCUGGGGCCUGAGCCAAGUGUUGGCAACGGAGCUGGUGGGAAACCAAGGUGCUCUUGGCGUUGCCACCAGCAGAAAGUGCUCCCCGACCUGGAGGUGCUCAAUAAUUACAUUUUUUUUUUUUUUGAGAUGGAGUUUCACUCUUGUUACCCAGGCUGGAGUGCAAUCAAGCGAUCUCGGCUCACCGCAACCUCCGCCUCCUGGGUUAAAGCAAUUCUCCUGCCUCAGCCUCCCGAGUAGCUGGGACUACAGGUGCGCGCCACCAUGCCCAGCUAAUUUUUGUAUUUUUAGUAGAAACGGGGUUUCACCAUGUUGACUAGGAUGGUCUUGAUCUCUUGACCUCGUGAUCCUCCCACUUUGGCCUCCCAAAGUGCUGGAAUUACAGGUGUGAGCCACCAUACCCAGCCUGCCUUUCUUCUUAAGUUCUUCAUAAUUUGUAAUACUUGCUUAACCAUUAUUUGAUUGACAUUACUUAUUUAACUUGUCUCUUGUUAGACAUUUGUAUUAUUUCCAGUUUUUUUCUCUUUUGCCUUCAUAGGCAAACUUUAUAUGAGGAUUUUUUUUCUCUUUUGUGACAGUUUCACUCUGUCACCCAGGCUUGAGUGCAGUGUAGCCUCCAUCUCCCGGGUUCAAGCAAUUAUCUUUCCUUAGUCUCCUGAGUAGCCAGGAUUACAGGAGCCUGCCAUCACACCCAGCUAAUUUUUGUAUUUUUACUAGGAACAAGGUUUCACCACGUUGGCGAGGCUGGUCUUUAGCUCCCAAACUGCUGGGAUUACAGGUGUGAAUUGAGGCCUUCAUAUGAGGAUUUUUUUUCCCCCGGCUCCCUCCCUUCUAUAUGAGGAUUCUUAAUGCCUCAGAAAGCUUCCCAUGUGUGUGACCAGCCCUUGAGCACCUUGGAGGCAACAUAGGGGUCUGCAGACCCCUAUGGCCCCUGAAAUGGUAGAAUCUCAAAUCUUACAUGGAUUUGGAGAUCAUACAAACAAAGCUCCCACCCAGCCCACACCUUCAUGUGUGUCAUAAGUACCCAUUGGCGCUGACCCGGGAACUGAUGUGAAGGAGGCUGGAGAGAGGAGUUUGAGGUGCACAAUUCUUCCAGACACCUGAAGGGUAGGAACUUACAUCUCUGUCUCCCCAGCUAUGACCUAGUAGUGCAGCCUCUAGUAAUCUCUUCAGUGCCCCAUGCCUCCCCCAGUGCCACUUUCCAUAUCACCCCUGAGCUUCUCGAAUUUCAUUCCUUUCAUCUAAAAUCCUCCCCUCCUCACUCUCCACUCCCAGCUUCCAGACUUUGAGCAGCACCCAUUCUCCUUUCCCUGUGCUCUCAGAGUACCUUCUCUGUGUCCUGUUGAGCCUGGGAAUACCUUGUCUUGAAGUCUUUCCUACCAAAUGUGAAGCUUUCUGACUUCAAGGAGUGGCCGUAACCCUACUGAGCUGGAGUGCAGUGGCACGAUCUCAGUUCACAGUAACCUCCACCUCCCGGGUUCAAGCGAUUCUCCUGCCUCAGCCUCCCAAGUACCUGGGAUUACAGUCAUGUGCCACCAUACCCAGCUAAUUUUGUAUUUUUAGUAGAGAAUGGGUUUCACCGUGUUGGUCAGGCUGGUCUUGAACACCCAACCUCAGGUGAUCCCUCCACCUUGGCCUCCAAAUUGCUGGGAUUACAGGCGAGAGCCACCACACCUGGCCAUGCACAAGUUUUAACAGUCAAAUUGAUCAAGCAGAAGAAAGGAUAUCAGAGGUUGAAGACCAACUCAAUGAAAUAAAAAGAGAAGACAAGAUUAGAGAAAAAAGGAUAAAAAGGAAUGGGCAAAUUCUCCAAGAAAUAUGGGACUAUGUGAAAAGACCUAAUCUACGUUUGAUAGGUGUACCUGAAUGCCACGAAGAGAAUGAAUCCAAGCUGGAAAAUAUUCUUCAGGGUAUUAUUCAGGAAAACUUCCCCAACCAAGCAAGGCAUGACAAUAUUCAACGCCAGGUAAUACAGAGAACACUACAAAGAUACUCCUCAAUAAGAGCAACCCCAAGGCACAUAAUCCGUUAGAUUCACCAGGGUUGAAAUGAAGGAGAAAAUGCUAAGGGCAGCCAGAGAGAAAGGUCAGGUUACCCAUAAAGGGAAGCCUAUCAGACUCACAGCAGAUCUCUCAGAAGAAACCCUACAAGCCAGAAGAGAGUGGGGGCCAAUAUUCAACAUCCUUAAAGAAAAGAACUUUCAACCCAGAAUUUCAUAUCCAGCCAAACUAAGCUUCACAAGCAAAGGAAAAAUAAAAUCUUUUGUGAACAAGCAAGUACUUAGAGAUUUCAUCACCACCAGGCCUGCUUUACAAGAGCUUCUGAAAGAAGCACUACACAUAGAAAGGAACAACCAGGCCGGGUGCGGUGGCUCAAGCCUGUAAUCCCAUCACUUUGGGAGGCCAAGGCGGGUGGAUCAUGAGGUCAAGAGAUCAAGACCAUCCUGGUCAACAGGUGAAACCCCGUCUCUACUAAAGAUACACAAAAUUAGCUGGGCAUGGUGGCGCGUGCCUGUAAUCCCAGCUACUCAGGAGGCUGAGGCAGGAGAAUUGCCUGAACCCAGGAGGCGGAGGUUGUGGUGAGCCGAGAUCGUGCCAUUGCACUCUAGCCUGGGUAACAAGAGCGAAACUCCGUCUCAAAAAAAAAAAAAAAAGAAAGGAACAACCA